AUUGAACGCUAGCGGCAUGCUUUACACAUGCAAGUCGAACGAGAGGCGGACGGGUGAGUAAUAUAUCGGAACGUGCCUAGUAGAGGGGGAUAACUACUCGAAAGAGUGGCUAAUACCGCAUACUAUUGGAGCGGCCGAUAUCGGAUUAGCUAGUUGGUGGGGUAAAGGCUCACCAAGGCCACGAUCCGUAGCUGGUUUGAGAGGACGACCAGCCACACUGGGACUGAGACACGGCCCAGACUCCUACGGGAGGCAGCAGUGGGGAAUUUUGGACAAUGGGCGAAAGCCUGAUCCAGCCAUCCCGCGUGUAUGAGAAGGUCUUCGGGUUGUAAAGUACUUUUGGCAGAGAAGCGGUAUCUGAAGAAUAGGCACCGGCUAACUACGUGCCAGCCGCCGCGGUAAUUC
rnacentral:rRNA from 1 species